UACACUCCUACGGGAGGCAGCAGUGGGGAAUUUUGGACAAUGGGCGAAAGCCUGAUCCAGCAAUGCCGCGUGUGUGAAGAAGGCCUUCGGGUUGUAAAGCACUUUUGUCCGGAAAGAAAUCCUUGGCUCUAAUACAGUCGGGGGAUGACGGUACCGGAAGAAUAAGCACCGGCUAACUACGUGCCAGCAGCCGCGGUAAUACGUAGGGUGCGAGCGUUAAUCGGAAUUACUGGGCGUAAAGCGUGCGCAGGCGGUUUGCUAAGACCGAUGUGAAAUCCCCGGGCUCAACCUGGGAACUGCAGUGGUGACUGGCAGGCUAGAGUAUGGCAGAGGGGGGUAGAAUUCCACGUGUAGCAGUGAAAUGCGUAGAGAUGUGGAGGAAUACCGAUGGCGAAGGCAGCCCCCUGGGCCAAUACUGACGCUCAUGCACGAAAGCGUGGGGAGCAAACAGGAUUAGAUACCCUUGUAGUCCCAUGAU
rnacentral:rRNA from 1 species